rnacentral:rRNA from 1 species
ACGUAGGUGGCAAGCGUUGUCCGGAUUUACUGGGCGUAAAGCGCCCGCAGGCGGCUUGGUAAGUUCAAGGUGAAAUCUCCCGGCUUAACUGGGAGGGUGCCUCGAAAACUGCCAGGCUUGAGGCGAGGAGAGGGAUGCAGAAUUCCAGGUGUAGCGGUGAAAUGCGUAGAUAUCUGGAGGAAUACCAGUGGCGAAGGCGGCAUCCUGGCCUUGUCCUGACGCUCAGGGGCGAAAGCGUGGGGAGCAAACCGGAUUAGAUACCCGGGUAGUCCACGCCGUAAACGAUGAGUACUAGGUGUAGGAGGUAUCGACCCCUUCUGUGCCGAAGCUAACGCGAUAAGUACUCCGCCUGGGGACUACGGCCGCAAGGCUA